CCUACCACAGAGUCAGGCACAGGAAAGGUAUUUAACAAAGGUGAUGUUCUCACCACACCUUCAGCACAAUCUGAAGAAGUCAUCCUGACACCACCCCCGCCCCCCCCAAGAGCAACCAUUUUCCUUGCCCUCCAUGACUGAAGCCACAACAUUCAUACCUAUCUGUGUUCUUAGAACCCCCCCUCAGGCAUUGGGUUGGGUGGACUUGUGCAUACAUCUCAUCCACGAGUAAAGGAGUCCAGGAAAGUUGCUCAUCUGGCCCAUAGAGCAGGCAAGCUGAACAAGAAAAUGUCACAGAGCGUGCAGUGUGUGGUGAGGGUUCAAAGGAAGGAGUCAUCAGUCCAGACCAGGAGAUCGGACAUCGUUCACAACGUUGGACAUAUCGCCAGAAGAGGGCACCCUUUCCUACAAAACCAAGAUCUGUCUGCUCCAUCCCUAAUAUGUAAACAAA